GAAGUGGUGGCCUGGUUGGACUCAGUCUUAGACAGCUUGAUCUAGUGGUUGGCAACCCUGUCCACUGCAGAGGGGUUGUAACUAGACUAUCUUUAAGGUCCCUUCCAACCUGAGUCAUUCUAUCAUUCUACAGCUGCUCUCUUCUCAUCCCAUGGGAUAAUCAUCUGAGCAUAAAAGGCUGAUCAGUGUUAUUUGCUCUUUCACAUUUAAGGAAUGGAAGUGAGGCUGACCAGCCUGUAGUCCCAAGAAGAGCUUGAAGAUGGCGCCUUUCCUGAAGACACUGGCAUUUGUUCUUUAGGAACUUUUCCUGAUCACCAUCUCCUCUCCUCUCCUCUCCUCUCCUCUCCUCUCCUCUCCUCUCC
ensembl:lncRNA